rnacentral:tRNA from 1 species
GGCCCAGUGGCCUAAUGGAUAAUGCAUCAGCGUUUGAAGCUGGGAAUUGUGGGUUUAAGUCAUAUUUGGGUUG